CCUACGGGAGGCAGCAGUGGGGAAUAUUGGACAAUGGGCGGAAGCCUGAUCCAGCGACGCCGCGUGAGGGAAGAAGGCUUUCGGUAUGUAAAGCUCUUUUUGCAGGGAAGAAAAAAAUGACGGUACCUGACGAAUAAGCCUCGCCGAACGACGUGCCAGCAUCCGCGGUAAUCCGGCGGGGGCAAGCGUUAUCCGGAUUUACUGGGUGUAAAGGGAGCGUAGGCGGUAAGGCAAGUCAGGUGUGAAAGCCAGGGGCCCAACCGCGGGACUGCAUUUGAAACUGUGGGACUUGAGUGCAGGAGAGGUAGGCGGAAUUCCUAGUGUAGCGGUGAAAUGCGUAGAUAUUAGGAGGAACACCAGUGGCGAAGGCGGCCUACUGGACUGGAACUGACGUUGAGGCUCGAAAGCGUGGGGAGCAAACAGGAUUAGAUACCCUUGUAGUC
rnacentral:rRNA from 1 species